AACGAACGCUGGCGGCGCGCUUAACACAUGCAAGUCGAACGCACACUUUCGGGUGUGAGUGGCGGACGGGUGAGUAACGCGUGGGAACCUGCCCUGAGGUUCGGGACAACCGUGGGAAACCGCGGCUAAUACCGGAUAUCUCCUACGGGAGAAAGACUUGUCGCCUUGGGAGGGGCCCGCGUCGGAUUAGCUUGUUGGUGGGGUAAUGGCCUACCAAGGCAUCGAUCCGUAGCUGGUCUGAGAGGAUGAUCAGCCACACUGGGACUGAGACACGGCCCAGACUCCUACGGGAGGCAGCAGUGGGGAAUCUUGGACAAUGGGCGAAAGCUUGAUCCAGUGAUAUCAAAGGAGUGAAGAAGGUGAAAACUGUAAAGCUUGAUUACUAAGGAAGAUAAUGACGUUACUUAGUAGGGAAGCCCGGCUAAUCCUGUG
rnacentral:rRNA from 1 species